CUUCUUCUUCUUCUUCUAAUUUGAUCUGUCUAGGGUUUUUCAAUUGCAUACGUUAAUUUCUUUGCCAGCUACAGUAUCAAGUAUUUAGGGCUCAAUUCAGUUAUUUUUUUUUGGGUUAUUGUCAUGCCUUUCAUGAUUUAUGAUUUCUCGUUUUGGAAUUUUAGAACUAUCGAAAAGCUGCCAUUUAUGGUCUCUGUUUUGUUGAAUUCAACAUUUGAAAGUCGCAGGGAGCGCUUUUUUUAUUUUAUUUUUAAUUUUGCUUUUUUCCUCCUUAUUUUUAUGCUUUCUUAAUUGAGCUGAACGAGAUUUAAUAAACUUAUGGUUUAUUAUUUGAUAACUUAGUGAUGUUAUGGGAUCUUAGUUUGUCUUGUUUGCAUUCUUGGUGUUGGAAUUUUGAAUCUCGUUCAUUGUCUUAGUUAUAUCUACCUGGGGUUUUGGUUUGAAUUGUUGAUGUAGAACAAGAACAACAAAGGAUCAAGAGAAACAAAUUCCUAUUGCUUUGCUAGUUUGCAAAGCGGUUAUAGGAGGUGAAAGUGGCAACAUUGCCAUCCAAAUUGGUUAGGAAUUAAGGCGGGUAAUUUAUGGAUAGUUUUGGUUAUGACUGCUAUGAGUACAUGUUUCAAAAUUUUUUAUGACUGCUAUGAGUACAUGUGUCAAAAUUUGCAGAAGUUUAGAAAAUAAAUGAAAUAAAUGUGUUAUUAGUGGAAAGUGAAUAAUAUGGUUUAUGUCUAAAUGGAUUGACUGAGUCUGGACUCAUAGGUAUGCUGCCGGAAGCAGGAAAAACUAAGUUGGGAUUCACUUCCGUAUAGAGAAAAAGACUUUUAGCCAUUAUGGAGAAGUAUUGACAAUGCAAUGGAUAAUUAGAAUACAAAGCAUUUUAAGUUAGCGACGUAGGAGAGAUUUUAUUCUUUGUUAUGUAAUUUGUGAUUACUGAAAGCUUGUGAAAUUUAGCUCACUCUACUUCAAUUGGGUCUCGGUUCCCAUUUGGUGAAUUUAUUGACAUGGGCUAGGUUCCUUAUCCUGAUUACCUUAAGAGUAUGCAGAUAUUCUUAUGUUGAUUGCAUUUUUAUUUAUUUAUUUAUUUUUUACUGUGAAUAUUGUUAGAUACCAUCUUUCUAGUGUUUGGACUUGCCCAACUCUGUUUAUGUUACCUAUGAAGAGCAUGAUGGUUUGUCGCUUGAUAAAACAUUCUAUUAAUUUAGGCUGGGUUCUGGCAACUCAGUAAAUAUCCUAUCUGCUGUCCUGUUUCCUUUAUUUUUUUUCCCCCUUUUGAGGGGAGGAACAAAUAUGACUAGUUGAAAGGAUUUUUUGGAAACAAAAUUCAAGUCGAGGAUUGUUGGUACCAGAAAAUGAGAAUCCAGGAUUUCUUUUUGCCCUGGUAGCUGCAUAUAUGAACACGUUGGAGAAUUGAGUUGUUUCAUGCAGAUAUAUGAGGUCCAUACGAGAGGUGAUUUUAUAUAAUAUAAUUACUAAUCAAUAGAUUAUAAUGGCGCACUCAAUAAAGUCCAUCUAAUAUGGAUGGAUAUGAGCAGGACAAAUAUAAGUUUAACUAAACUGAGAAGACAAAUUAAUAUUAAUUUAUGAAUUAAAUUUUCCUUUUGUUGAUAAUGCAAAUCAUUAACACAGAAAAAGCUGUGCUUGGACUUUUUAAGUUCCUAGCAACUUUAACUUGUGAUCAGAUGUAAGAUUGUUGCAAGUGCAGAAACUUGAUAAGUGGAAGACAUUUUCAAUGAAGAGCCAACAUGUCAGUAAUUGAGAAAUUACUUUUCUGCUGUCCCCUUUGAUCUAAGUUUUGUGUGUGUGUGACAGAUUUGAGAGACAUCUACUUGUUGAAAAGAUGGUCUUAAGCGAAAAAAUACCAGAAUUUAAGGGGAGAAAAAGGGGAAAAAAAAAAAAACCCUGUAUUGGUCUCAUCAAUAUGAGAUCUUGGGAAGGAAGCAAGGCUGUUGUGCAGUUAUAAUCUAAAGUUAGUCUUGCAAUUUAGUCUUGCCCUUUAGUGUUCAAAUCUAUUACCUCUUGAUUAUGAACUCAGGACUUCUACUAUUGCACAAGACAAUCAUAUUUAUCUGAUAUUAGCGAAGGAAUUUAAUUCAUAGCAUUCAUUUUCCAGGCAUGAAAUAUUAGCUAUUAUUGCCAGACUUAGAUGAGAUGUUAGUUAUUAUUGCCAGACUUAGAUGGAUGAGAACUUUCUACCUUCUCUGCUUUAAAGGACAUCAGAAAGGAUUGUUGUCAAAUUAUGUAUUGAAGUCUGAAGGUUUCCUUGCUGAUGUUUCAUAGUGGCAAAAGUAUACUUACUAUUUUUUCUAAAGAUUUUGGUAUUAGUAUUUAAUCUUCCAUCCAACGUUAAAUAUUAGAACUUUCUGAUAUGUUUAUCUAAAGGUUUGGUUCUGUACAGGGUACCUCUGGCUGAAAGCAUCAAUUCCGAAGAAUUUAAUAAGUUGUAUCAUGGUUUUCAAAGAGGUUUUUCUUUGUUUUCAUAGUAUUGAGGAUCAUUAAUGUGAGAGAUUAUUUUGGUGUUUCAAAUAACAAGUUUUUUUUUGUGACAAGGUGUGAUGGAAAUAUCAGUUUUGAAAGCACUUCUGAAUAACAUCUCCUCUUUUUUAUGUUUAUCAACCAUUGAGAACUUAAGCUCGGACCUGGUUCAGAAGUAUUGCCAGAAGGCAGAAGAGAUAUUGAAGCUGUUGAAGCCAAUACUUGAUGCUGUUGUUGAUUCUGAAAUAGCUUCUGAUGAAGUGCUUAAUAAGGCAUUUCAUGAAUUGGGCCAGUCUGUUGAUGAACUGAGGGAACUCUUUGAAAACUGGCAACCAUUGUCGAGUAAAGUUUAUUUUGUUCUGCAAACUGAAUCAUUAAUAUCAAAGAUCAGGACUUUGGGUCUGGAUAUGUUUCAGCUGUUGAAGUCUUCCCAUGAACAUUUCCCUGAUGAAUUAAGUUCAUCAUCUCUUGAGUACUGCACACAAAAAAUUAAGCAAAUGGGAUAUGAACAAACAUCAUCUGUUGUUAGAGAAGCCAUAAGGGACCAAGUGGAGAGUGGUGAACCUAGCUCAGAGAUUCUGGUGAAAAUUGUAGAGUGCUUAAGCUUGAGGUCCAAUCAGGAUGUUCUGAUUGAAGCAGUGGCCCUCGAGAAGUUGAAGGAGAAUGCUGAGCAAGCUGAAAACACUAGGGAAGCUGAGUUAUUCGAUCAAAUGAUUUCUCUUGUGACUCGCAUGCAUGAACGUCUUGUUCUGAUAAAACAGUCUCAGACCAGCAGCCCAGUCCCAAUACCAGCUGAUUUUUGCUGCCCUCUCUCUCUUGAGUUGAUGACUGAUCCAGUGAUUGUGGCAUCUGGGCAAACCUAUGAGCGAGCGUUCAUUAAAAACUGGAUUGAACAUGGGCUCACUGUGUGUCCCAAGACACGACAGACUCUUGCUCACACCAAUCUGAUACCUAAUUACACUGUAAAGGCUCUCAUUGCAAAUUGGUGUGAGUCCAACAAUGUGAAGCUGCCUGAUCCUGUGAAGUCUGUGGGCUUCAAUCAGCCCUCACCACUUCUUGUACAUGCAGAGUCUGGUGGCAUGCCCAGGGAUUCACAUGUUUUUCCUCAAUCCAGGGGCAACCAACCCAUGUCACCUGAGUCAACUCGGUCUACCGGUUCUCCUGGAAGGAAUUGGAUCUCUUCUAGUAGAAUUCAUCAAGAGGGAUCUUCUCCACUUCAUCCUUGUUCUACAUCCGAGGGUUCCUUAUCAGGUAUAGUAGGAAAUGAACUGGGUAUGGACAUGAUGAGAAUAUCACGAAUGAGUUCUGAGGAAAGGUCUGCUAACUUGGAUGAAAGGAGCAUGGAUUCAGUUGUCAACCACCCUGUAUCACCUCCUAGAAAGGAAGUUCCGAAUGGUGUUAGAGCUGAUGAACAUAUGACUCAGAGCCACAGUAGAAAUGCCUCAGCCUCCAGUGUUGCUAAUGCAAAUUUUUCUCAAGGAGUUCAUGCAGAUGCUAAUGAGUGUUCAGAGAUGUCAAACCAUCUUACUUCCUAUAGCAGUGAUACUUCAGGGGAGGUAAAAGCAGAGCCACAGGCUUCUACUACUUUGAACGCCCCUCACAGAGAACCUGAGUUCCCACUCCGUUUGGUUGAGACACGGUCUCGAAGUCAAACUUUCUGGCGGCGGCCGUCAGAUAGGCUUGUUCCAAGGAUAGUUUCUUCUCCUGCUAUGGAAACGAGGGCUGAUCUUUCUGGUGUUGAAACCAAAGUUCGAAAGCUGAUUGAGGACUUGAAAUGUGAUUCAGUUGAUACUCAAAGAGAGGCAACAGCUGACCUCAGGCUACUUGCCAAACACAACAUGGACAAUAGGAUUGUUAUAGCAAGCUGUGGGGCCAUUAACUUGUUAGUUAACUUUCUUCGAUCAACUGACAUAAUGAUUCAGGAAAAUGCUGUCACAGCACUCCUUAACUUGUCAAUUAAUGAUAACAACAAAACAGCAAUUGCUAAUGCAGAUGCUAUUGAACCUCUGAUUCAUGUACUAGACACAGGAAGUCCAGAGGCCAAGGAGAAUUCAGCUGCUACUCUCUUUAGCCUAUCAGUGAUUGAGGAUAACAAGGUCAGGAUAGGACGGUCUGGGGCUGUUAGACCUCUGGUUGAUUUGUUGGGGAAUGGAACUCCCAGGGGAAAGAAGGAUGCAGCCACAGCUUUGUUUAAUUUGUCAAUAUUUCAUGAAAACAAAGCCCGGAUUGUGCAAGCUGGUGCUGUUAAGCACCUUGUCGAGUUGAUGGACCCAGCAGCUGGGAUGGUUGACAAGGCAGUUGCUGUUUUGGCUAAUCUUGCAACAAUUGCUGAGGGAAGGACUGCAAUUGGUCAAGAGGGUGGGAUCCCUGUUCUGGUUGAGGUUGUUGAGUUGGGUUCUGCAAGAGGGAAGGAAAAUGCAGCUGCUGCACUUUUGCAGCUUUGCACGAACAGUAGUAGGUUUUGCAACAUGGUGCUUCAAGAAGGUGCUGUACCACCAUUAGUGGCUUUAUCACAGUCUGGCACCCCAAGAGCUAAAGAAAAGGCUCAGGCAUUACUUCAAUACUUCAGAAACCAACGACAUGGUAAUGCUAGGAGCUGAUUUGUUUUUAGACCAACCAUUCAGUGCCAAUUGAGUUUUUGAUUUGAGUUCUAUACAUAGUGUGUACAUUUGAUGUUGAAAAUAAUGCAUAUUAAGGUUUUGCUGCUUUGAUUUUACAUAAUUUGUAGAGGAAAAUUGAUUUAUAGAGAAUGUGAUUCAUUCCUUUUGUGAAAAUCCUUUUUACAAUUAAAAAAAAAAAUCUUGAGUUUGGUCUUUUCAGAGAGCUUGACAGAAGGCGAGUAUUUUGGUGCUGUUGUGCCUUAUUUAUGUCUCGUUUCUAAGCAUGUCUUCGUUCUAUUAGAUAUAUUCAGACUUUUGUUUUUAGUGCCUGCAAUUGUGGUAAAAUUUCUAUCCAGUUUUCAGAACCAUUGGCGAUGGAUUUUCAUUCAGUUAUACCAGUCUUGUAGCCAAACGCACUCUAAAUUGCAGUAAAGUUCAACCUGCAAACUACAGUUCGGUCCUUGCCCAUUGUAGGCGUUAGAGCAUUGAUGCAGACGGGGGUGUAUGUUUUCUUCACUUCCCACUACGCGUCGGGGUUUGCGUCUUCAAUUUCCAGCAACACAUGCUGCCAUCAUGUUUGGGAUUUCUGCUGAACUCACGAAUCCGGUUCGACUGAUUGAAUAAGAAAUGGGAUAGUAAUCUGGUCUGAUUUAAUAUCAUUUGUUGACUUACCUGAAAAUCGGUCAAAACCGGAUUGACUAUGCAAACGAUAUGAUAUGAAUCGGACAGACCAGGCAAAAUCAGGUUCUAUUAAUACGGUACCGUUGUUUAGGGAAAUUAAAAGGAGAAGACGCAUCUCUCCAUCUGCAGAAAGCCAGAAACACGUUUUUGCACUUCUCCUAAACUCCCAAAUCCCCCUUCCCUCCUUCCUAAUCAAGCUUUUCCUUUUCCCAAUCAUCGUUCAAUGAUUCUUCGCAACGGCGACAACAUGAUGACCGAAGACAUUGAAUCUCAGAUGUAAAUCGAUUCGGUCCUGGCUUGAACUGCCCAAGUGACAGACCAACACAAUAUCACUGGGUCUCUCUCCCAUAUCUCAGUUCUCUCAUCCUCCUGUGAAUGUCGUCAGCGAUACUUUGAAUCUCUGGUGUUUCUAAGGUGUUUACUUUUUUGUUUUUGUUUUUCUUUGAUUGUAUAAAUAUUAUCAUAUAAUUAGCAAAUUAUGGACUUUUGGUGGAGGUCUCUGUUAAUUUGAGCUUAUCUUGCUUUUUAAGAGUCUUUUUUUUU